GACAGAGGUGCCAAGCGUUAGGCGGAAUCACUGGGCUUAAAGCGUGUGUAGGCGGACUGGUAAGUACCUUGUGAAAUCCCACGGCUCAACCGUGGAACUGCUCGGUAUACUGCUCGUCUUGAGCCACUUAGGGGCUGUCGGAACAAACGGUGGAGCGGUGAAAUGCGUAGAGAUCGGGAGGAACACCAGCGGCGAAGGCGGCAAACUGGAUAGGCACUGACACUCAACAACGAAAGCGUGGGGAGCAAACAGG
rnacentral:rRNA from 1 species